AGUGACAUUGGAUUGGUCUUGUGCCUGAUUCCAUCCCAAAGUUACCCAUGAGGAAUUGCUGUGUCUUAGUAUGAUUUAUUUAACAUCUAAAAUCUGGGGAGGUGGAGGUUUGGGCAAAACUAAGACAAUCUUCUAAAGGUCCGCACAACUGAAUUAAGAAAGUCCCUACAGAGUUAGUGUGGGAGUGGCCAGGAAAUUUCUCUUUGUGAGCAAAAGAAACUACUGAUAGUCUUUGCAAGUGUUAGGGUUGUGAAAACAAAAUUUCAGCCAUGAAUGAACUUGUGAGGGAGAAAAUAAUUAUUACCUACUUCUCCCAAAUAAUCCACCCUCAAAGUUCAAGAGUCCAACAGGCGUGGCUUCUCAUACUUGAACACAUUCUUCACGUAGCAAGCAAGGCAACUGGGUAUGUACAGGGUACAUUUGCUUUCAAUUUUCUCUUUUCUAGCUUCCUUUUCAUCAAAACUACCUACUGUGGCAGGUGAAGAAUGGACUAGGAUGUCAUACAGAAAUGGCUUCCAAACCCAACUUGGCUCUUCACUAUCUCGGGAACAUUAAGCAAACUAUUCAUUGUGCCUAAGUUUUGGUCCACUUAUUUGGACACUGGACACUUUGUUUUAGCCUUUGUGAGUUGCGAGAAUAACAUGAGGCUAAUUAUAAAAGGGCAUAGCACAGGAUAGGAAUUUAAGAAAUUGCCAUUAAAUUGUCAUCGUCAGCUCAUCAUCAUGGUGAUUAAACUGGGACAAAAAGCCAGCAACAGGAUAUGCAUCUAUGGAAUUAUUGAUGGUUUUGUGUUGAUUUGUGUGAUAUCAAUAGGACUGUGGGGAUAAAAGCUGAAAUAGGCAUUUUUUCCCCCCCACUCAGAAUAAUACCUUUAGCAGAGCAGAAAAAGAAAGGAAAAUUGACUUGGUUGGUGGGUUGUGAGACCCCAGACGGUGCAGAUAGGACUAGAAGUUGUAAUUCCAUGGUGAAGAUGGGGGUGUCACUCGGGGCGGUGGGUGAACUACAUAAGAUUUAAGGCAAAUUCUAAACCAACAGGUCCAGAGUUUCAUGAACAUAUCAUUCUGAAGAAAUUUGAAAACAUGGGUUCAGCUUCCAGAGGUGCUUUGAGGGAAAGCUUUAUACUUUAGUUGAUUGUUUGGGCCCUUGUACCUGUAUAAUACCUAGACUAUAUUAUGCCCUCAGUAAAUGUUAGUUGAAAAGUGAAUACAUAAAUAUACGAAUAGAUUACUAAUGGAAAAAUAAAGCGUGACAAUAUAUAUGACAGGUUUGGUUAUAUUUCUGAAAAUCUGUUAAGCUAAUUUUGUACUUGGUAUUCCCUGCUUUUUCCUCCCACACUUAGACCCACCUGUCCCUUGAUGGAGCACCUUCUCAAAUCCUCAUAUUUCUCAGGUAUUUCCACCUUCUAACUAAAAUCUGCAAGGAAAGGUCAGGGAGCAUUAUUCAACGUAAGUUGUGAUGAGAUAGUUAAUUUUAUAUGUCAGUUUGAAUGGGGCAUGAAGUGCCCAGAUAUUUGACCAAACAUUAUUCUGGGUGUAUCUAUGAGGGUGUUUCUGUAUGAGAUUAAUGUGGAAAUCAGUAGACUGACUAAAGCAGAUUGUUCUUCCCAAAGUGGGUGGGCCUCAUCUAAUCAUUUGAAGAAUUGAAUAGAACAGAAAGGCUGAGUGAGAGGGAACUCUUUUGGCUUGACUGUUUGAUCUGGGACAUUGGUCUUUUCCAGUCUUUGGACACGGACUGAAACAUUGGCUGUUCUUUCGUCUCAAGCCUGCCAACUUUCAAACUGGAACUUAAGCCAUAUGCUCUCCUGGUCUUCAGGCCUUUAGAUUCAGUCUUGAACUCCACCUUGACUCCUCUGAGUCUGUCUCUUGAGAGUUUUCUUAGCCUCUGUAACCACACAAACCAAUUUCUUAUCAUCUAUCUAUCUAUGGAGAACCCUGACUAAUGCAUUUAUGUAUAAAAUAUUUGCAUUUCGAUAGGAAUUAGAGAAGCAACAGAUUUGACAAAGGACUGAGGUGGAGGUGAAGGUGUUGCCUUUGUGGGUAAAGAAGGGCACUGCAGGUCAUUCUACAGGAAACAGAACUCACUGUGGUUAAAGAUAUCUAGGAAAUCUGGAAAGGAAUCCAAGCCUGUCCAACUCCAAAGCCAAAGAAAUGUUCAUGGUGAUUUUACAGAGACCCUGGAAUUAUCCAUUAUUUUGCCUGAGACACAUAGAUAAGAAACCUUGAGACUCAGCGAAGUGAAGAGACCUAUUAAUCAUGCAGCUUGAAUGCCGUGACCAUGCUGGAGCUCAGACCUCCUGACUCCAAGUCAUGUAUAUUGCUCCAUAUCCAGGGGUGAAAAAAGGAAUUUAGACUCUUACUGGAGCUGGUGAGACAACAAGCGUGGGUUGAGGACAGUUACCUGAAAAAUCUCUGUCUUUCAUAAAGUAAAAGAAACAUGGUUUUGUGUAAGCAAUGCAAACAGGAAUAUGCAAGUGUCAUGGCAGAAUGUAUGCAUGGUGUAUCUAUAAUUACACAGAGGCUUUGCAUUUAGAAAUCAUAUCAUUCAACUGUUUUACUGCCUAAAACGCUUCAGCAGAUUGAGAUGAUUUCAACCUGGUGGAAAAUGGUGAUCAUCUUUCGCACAUGUAAGAGGUCUUAGCAGCUCUCCCCUUUCCCUAGUUCACAUUUCUCUAAGCCCUCGAUUAAUUCUUCCAUUUGUAACAUGAAGAUGCCAUGGGGCUAUCACCAUCCAACUUUUCUGGACGUGAAUAAGAUAUAUUUGUUUUACCUUUUUGCCAAUACUUUGACCAGGAAAUGCUUAAAAUCACGCUACAGAUUUUGCAAGCAGACAUUGUCUGUUUCAGGCUCAGUGGCAUCUAUUGUCGGUAGACAUAAACUUCAAUCCUCUCCUUAAGACUUGCCUUUUCUUUGCCAGUGCGGUUGCAUGUCCUACACUAAAUGAUGUGUCCUGGCUCCUCUGUACCAGGUUGGGUGUGCAAGGGCACAGAUAAAAACUGUCAUUACUUAAAAAAAAAAAAACAAAAACUGUCAUUACUUGUUAGUACUGUAAAUUUCCAAAGGCUGCUUGCCCUUGCCAUGUUCUAUGCUAGAUGUCGGCAGGAUGAAUCAAAACCCAUCCCUGCCUCUCAAGGAACUUACAGUGAGGUGAAAGACUGAAAAUAAACAAAUUGUUUGGUGAAUGAACAAACAAGAGAUACGCACAAGGGGUGUUGGGGUGAAGCUGGUAAUAUGCAGGAGUUGAUCAUAAUAAAAGCUCACACCUUGCUUGCCAUGGGCCACCAUAAUUAGGGCUUUACCUAUAUUAGCUCUUUUGGUCCUCACAAUAACUCUGCGAGUUAGCCUAUCUCUAGUAGAUUACUAUAGUCUUCAUUUUAUAGAUGGGUACACUGAGGCAUGGAAAAGGUGAGGGAGCAUAGAGGUGUGUGAGCUGAGAGUUGAAUCCAGGUAGAUUGGCUCAUCCACUUAGCUGCUAUCCUAUACUAUCUCAGCCUGUGGUCAGGGGCAGGAGGAGCUGUGAACCAGUCGGAGGAGGUGGGAAACACAUUCGAUGCAGACAGAAUUGCCUAUUCAGAGGCAUAGGAGACUGGGAAGAUGAGGCCGAGAUGAAGGCCUGCAGCUUGGGAUGCCUGUAGCACACGGGUAUGAAGACGCAUAUGCCAAAGGUAAGGCUAGACAUAUGAGCAUAUUCGUCUUGCCCCUUCCAGGUGAAGACUUCCCUGUUUUGUUCUAGAGACACAAGGAAGCUGUUGAAGCAUCUUAGGUAUGGACACGUCAUGACCUGAUACCCAUUUUCUGUGAGGUCAUCUGGGAGAAGUGUGAAGGAGAGUAUCUAGAACAUCUAGUAGAGUAUCUGGAGUAUCUGGAGUAUCUAGGAGUGUAUAGGAAAGCAUAUAUUUCGAGAAGGGAGAGGGGACCCAAAGCAAAGCUACCAGAGGGGAGCCUCUCACAAUUGUCUACGUACGGAGGGAGAGAAAGAUGAACCGGAAGGCUUUUAAUUGAUAGGCUGGACAGGUGAAGAGAAAGGUGCCGAGGACUGUGGCCAGGUUGGAUGUGUCUACAGGAACGUAUGAGAUGGCGCAGGGAGGAGGAAGGUAGCCCUGUUUUGGAUGUUGAAGGCUCGAGGUACUUGGGAUGUAUGCUUGGGAUGCUGCAUGCACGUUAUGGAUUAAUAGGGUGGGGAUCAGCACCUGGAGAGAGGGGCUGACAGGUAGCACUGUGGGUAGAAGUGACCGGGGGCUUCUCACAGCAGUGUUUAGUGAUAUGGGCAGCUGGCUAUUUCUCAAGGAAGGAGGUGCUGUAGGAGCUUCUGGGGGCAGCCAACAUCCGCAAUGUUAUCCACUCCCACCACCAUUUCUUGGAUCUGAGUCUGGAAUUCCGUUUCCAGCCAUGCCUUUACUCUUGAGUUGUGGAAGGUAUCAACCCUAAUUGAAUUAUUAUUUAAUAAAACAUCUAGAAUAGUGCCUGGAAUGUAGUCAUUACUGCACAUAGUCUGCUGUGCAAGUGCUUAUUAAGCAAAACAGGUGAAGGAACUCCCACUUAGAUAGCAGCUUGAGGUCUUUCUUCUUGCUUGAUACACGUAGGGCUUUGGGCAGGAAAUAGAGAUGCCUGAGGAGGACCAGCAUCUUAGAAAUAGGCUGAAGAAGACUACAAGAAGGGCCAUCCAAAGACUAAGCAGAACAUCAGCGAAAGCUCGUGUCACGCCAGGCUCAUUUCUUCAAGAAGGUGGUGUCCACAGGGUGGAACCCAGGCAGCAGCACGAUUAAGUGAAAGAUGGCAAGUGUUUUAUUAGGUCUGGGAUCCAUCUCAGAGAUGAAAGUUGGCAUGUGCCUUGUGGGAUUGUUAAUGGUAAUAGUCUCAAUGUUUAUCUUUUAGACCUGCUGCGUUCAAUUUGGAACCAGGAGCCACAGGCGUCAACUAAGCCACUAGCCAUGUCUUAAGUGGCUACUUUCCAUUUCAUGAGGUGUUUCAAUAAGCAUUUAAUGAGUACCUGAUGCGUGCCAAACAAAACAGACAAUGUCUUACAGGAGACACAGAUGUUUAUGUGUAUGUUUAAUGUCGAAACAUGUGUAGCCUGUGCUCCCUGCUAUGUGCUCUCAUGGUUCUUGCCUGAAGUCCAUUUGUUUUCUGCAGUUCUGCACUUCUUAGUAUAAUUGAUGGAGAGAGACAAUGAAACUAUACGGCUCCUCCAAGGAGACUGUAAGCUCCAAGAUAACAGGGUUGUCUGCUGCACAUCCACGUAUCCAAGAGCCUGGCAUAUAAACACAUACAGAAUAAUGAUCACAAUUUCAGGAAGUGCAAUGAAGAAAUGGUACAAUGUCCUUUGAGAGUAGGUAACUGGGGGGAUCUUAUUUAAAUGAGAGGGUAUUCAGGCCAGAGAAAAAUUCCAUGAGGAAAUGACAGCUAGAGUGAGAGUUGCAAGAAGAAGGGGGGGAGGUAGCUAGAGAAAAGAGGGGAGGGCCUUUGAGGGAGUGGGGUGGGGGAAGAUCCCCAAGUGAACAGAGUUAGCUGCACUCUGUCUCAUUUCACACAGUGGUUUCCUUUAAGCUUCUGUAAAAUGCCAUUUCAGGAAAUCAUGUGUUCUGUUUUGUAAAAUGACUCAUAAAAGAGCUAUUUUGUUGUCAUUGGCAUUAAAAAUAAAUUCAGAA